AACGAACGCUGGCGGCAGGCUUAACACAUGCAAGUCGAGCGCCCCGCAAGGGGAGCGGCAGACGGGUGAGUAACACGUGGGAACGUACCCUUUACUACGGAAUAGCUCCGGGAAACUGGAAUUAAUACCGUAUGUGCCCUUCGGGGAAAGAUUUAUCGGUAAAGGAUCGGCCCGCGUUGGAUUAGCUAGUUGGUGGGGUAAAGGCCUACCAAGGCGACGAUCCAUAGCUGGUCUGAGAGGAUGAUCAGCCACAUUGGGACUGAGACACGGCCCAAACUCCUACGGAGGCAGCAGUGGGGAAUAUUGGACAAUGGGCGCAAGCCUGAUCCAGCCAUGCCGCGUGAGUGAUGAAGGCCCUAGGGUUGUAAAGCUCUUUCACCCGGUUGAAGAUAAUGACGGUAACCGGAGAAGAAGCCCCGGCUAACUUCGUGGCCAGCAGCCGCGGUAAU
rnacentral:rRNA from 1 species